CGAACGGCUGAGUAACAUGUAGGAAUCUAUCCUUUAGUGGGGAAUAGUCCACCGAAAGGUGGGGUAAUACCGCAUACAACCGCGAGGUAAAAGCACUUAACUGUGCGCUGAUGGAGGAGCCUGCACACUAUCAUGCUUGUUGGUGAGGUAAUAGCUCACCAAGGCUAUGACGGUUAGGGGACGUGAGAGCGUGAUCCCCCAGAAAGGCACUGAGAUACGGGCCUU
rnacentral:rRNA from 1 species